CGGGGCCGUCCACUCCCCUGCAGCGUGGCCCUCCCCAGCCCUCCAGGGAGCUCGCGCCCGUCGCCCUGAGCACCGUGUCUGGACCUUCUGACGUGGUCACACGAUCAGGUUGGGGGCGGCCACGUCUUCCCGGCGCCUCGGUUUCGGGAGGCCUCAGCUGUUAACUCCCACCCCGACCCUGGGCGCCCACCGGGGACAGACGGGUGGACGCUGGCGCUCCAGCGGAGGGAAGAGUGGUGGAAAACGCACAAGAGGACCCCGAAAAGCAAGGUAGCCUCACAGAAGACAUCCUGGGGGCAAAGGUGACUCUGAAACCAACCACCUGAGGUCAACCUACGCCACACUUUAUUCUGUGACCCCGCGCUCCUCAGCGGCGGGAUUUCACGGUAUCGCGAGAAUGUCUUGGUCUCGCGCAUGCGCAGAAGCCUGGCCCCGGCGAAGGCCCUUCUCUGACCGCAAGCCGCGACAGGAUUUCACAGUCUCGCGACAACUGUUGGCUCUCGGGCACGCUCGGGAACCUGGAUCCGGCGAUCCUCCCGCCCCCGUGGCACUUCCGGUGCGUCACGGCUCCAUAAGAGCGCGUGCGCGGCGAGUUUCGCCCUUUUGCGUCAGGCGUCGUCUCGGGUGCUGUGCCUGCAUUGUCCUGGUCGCCCAGCUCGUAACUGGCCACAGCUCGAGCCGAGACCUCAAGAAAUCCAGUGACGGUGAGUAAAGGCCUGAGCAGCAUCUUGCAGUGGAUCACCGAACCUAAAUUUCAGUUGGGGAAUGGGUAUUUUGAGUAACAUUCUGGAAACUAUCAGGGCACUAUUUAUAAUAUGAGUCUGAAUUAUUUUGAAUUUGUAUUUCAGAUGCAUCCUUGGUAUGAUUGAAUAAAAUGGCUCACAUGACUA